rnacentral:rRNA from 1 species
UACGUAGGUCCCGAGCGUUAUCCGGAUUUAUUGGGCGUAAAGCGAGCGCAGGCGGUUAGAUAAGUCUGAAGUGAAAGGCUGUGGCUUAACCAUAGUAUGCUUUGGAAACUGUUUAACUUGAGUGCAGUAGGGGAGAGUGGAAUUCCAUGUGUAGCGGUGAAAUGCGUAGAUAUAUGGAGGAACACCGGUGGCGAAAGCGGCUCCCUGGGCUGUAACUGACACUUAGGCUCGAAAGUGUGGGGAGCAAACAGG